rnacentral:rRNA from 1 species
GGGACAAGCCCUGGAAACGGGGUCUAAUACCGGAUACUGAUCGCCUUGGGCAUCCUUGGUGAUCGAAAGCUCCGGCGGUGCAGGAUGAGCCCGCGGCCUAUCAGCUUGUUGGUGAGGUAAUGGCUCACCAAGGCGACGACGGGUAGCCGGCCUGAGAGGGCGACCGGCCACACUGGGACUGAGACACGGCCCAGACUCCUACGGGAGGCAGCAGUGGGGAAUAUUGCACAAUGGGCGAAAGCCUGAUGCAGCGACGCCGCGUGAGGGAUGACGGCCUUCGGGUUGUAAACCUCUUUCAGCAGGGAAGAAGCGAAAGUGACGGUACCUGCAGAAGAAGCGCCGGCUAACUACGUGCCAGCAGCCGCGGUAAUACGUAGGGCGCGAGCGUUGUCCGGAAUUAUUGGGCGUAAAGAGCUCGUAGGCGGCUUGUCGCGUCGGUUGUGAAAGCCCGGGGCUUAACCCCGGGUCUGCAGUCGAUACGGGCAGGCUAGAGUUCGGUAGGGGAGAUCGGAAUUCCUGGUGUAGCGGUGAAAUGCGCAGAUAUCAGGAGGAACACCGGUGGCGAAGGCGGAUCUCUGGGCCGAUACUGACGCUGAGGAGCGAAAGCGUGGGGAGCGAACAGGAUUAGAUACCCUGGUAGUCCACGCCGUAAACGGUGGGCACUAGGUGUGGGCGACAUUCCACGUCGUCCGUGCCGCAGCUAACGCAUUAAGUGCCCCGCCUGGGGAGUACGGCCGCAAGGCUAAAACUC